UCGCGGCUUAUCACCGGCAGUCCCCUUAGAGUGCCCAACUGAAUGAUGGCAACUGGAGGCAAGGGUUGCGCUCGUUGCGGGACUUAACCCAACACCUCACGGCACGAGCUGACGACAGCCAUGCAGCACCUGUGCUGGCUCCCCUUGCGAGGUCAUCCCCGUUUCCGGUUCUUACCACCAGCAUGUCAAACCUGGGUAAGGUUCUUCGCGUUGCAUCGAAUUAAACCACAUCAUCCACCGCUUGUGCGGGCCCCCGUCAAUUCCCUUGAGUUUUAAUCUUGCGACCGUACUCCCCAGGCGGGAUGCUUAAUGCGUUAGCUGCGCCACUGACAGGCAAGCCUGCCAACGGCUAGCAUCCAUCGUUUACGGCGUGGACUAC
rnacentral:misc_RNA from 1 species